rnacentral:rRNA from 1 species
UACGUAGGGUGCGAGCGUUGUCCGGAAUUAUUGGGCGUAAAGAGCUCGUAGGCGGUCUGUCGCGUCGGAUGUGAAAACCCGGAACUCAACUCCGGGCCUGCAUUCGAUACGGGCAGACUUGAGUACUGCAGGGGAGACUGGAAUUCCUGGUGUAGCGGUGGAAUGCGCAGAUAUCAGGAGGAACACCAAUGGCGAAGGCAGCUCGCUGGGACGGUUACUGACGCUGAGACGCGAAAGCGUGGGGAGCAAACAGG